rnacentral:rRNA from 1 species
UGGGGAAUAUUGCACAAUGGGCGCAAGCCUGAUGCAGCAACGCCGCGUGAACGAUGAAGGUCUUCGGAUCGUAAAGUUCUGUUGCAGGGGAAGAUAAUGACGGUACCCUGUGAGGAAGCCCCGGCUAACUACGUGCCAGCAGCCGCGGUAAUACGUAGGUGGCGAGCGUUAUCCGGAUUUACUGGGCGUAAAGGGCGUGUAGGCGGCUAGAUAAGUGUGAUGUUUAAAUCCAAGGCUUAACCUUGGGGUUCAUUACAAACUGUUUAGCUUGAGUGCUGGAGAGGAUAGUGGAAUUCCUAGUGUAGCGGUAAAAUGCGUAGAUAUUAGGAGGAACACCGGUGGCGAAGGCGGCUAUCUGGACAGUAACUGACGCUGAGGCGCGAAAGCGUGGGGAGCAAACAGG